ACCAACGUUAUUUCUUCAUUAUGAACAAGUCUGAAAGUUGUGUCAACAGAGAGAGGUUACAAUUAGAUGAAAUCUCCAAGCGGUUUAAAUGCGCAAGUCUCUGACAUCCAAGUGGCUAAAAUGUGUCAGCAGAAGGGGACACAGGAGUCAUGACCUGGAUGCAGCUUGGCUUGCGUGGGGCUUUCUUCUCUGAAGACCUGCUGUUCAGCUCUGUUCCUACCCCUACCACCAUCAACAGGACGAGAAUUUUGAAUUAACUUAUGCCCAGUAGUUUAUCAAUAGGAUGAAGUGUCAAGGUAAAAAAUGUAAUACCCAACACCAGUGUAGGACUAUGGCCUGUUAGUCCUGAAGUUCCCAUCUGUUUGUUUUUAAGCAAGUCUACCAUUCAUCGCUGGCUUGCCAGCCCUGCCGCAACUUCACCACAUUACUCGUUUUUGCAUUGAAGAGUUUUUCUCAAGAACACAACACAUUGCCUAGUCCAAGUAUUUGAACCAUAAUCUUACCAACACCCUAACUGCUAAUCCACGCACGUCCACCAAACGUCAAGGUAUUUAAUUAGAAUUUGACUACAUGUCAACAAACAUGAAAAUAAUUUUAAAAAAUUAGUUCCCGUUUCAUGCAAAAAUUCAUCAUUUCAAAAAAAUAAGAGUUAAUUAGAAAAUGAAAAAUUAAAUCACAUAUGACAAUGAAUAGGGAAUAUAUCAACAAAUGACAUGUUGAUGUACAGUCUAAGUGGGGCAACUAAUGAAUAGCUAAAAACAACAUGUCCUACAGGAAACAUUUGGUGGAUUUUAGUUGUUUACAUAAUAAGCCUUGCAAUACAAUAACCUUCAAUGGGUUUACUUUUCAGAGCACCAAUGGAAGAAGUGGACCACAAGGGGGACUGCAUUGAAAAAUAAACCUCAUCUGGUCAUAUUCCAGGAGAAUAUCUUGGUCAGCCAAUGAGCUUUUCAGCUGACCCUUGUAAAGAAUAAUUUAUUGAACAACUGCUGACACAAUAAAGCAAUCAAUGAUAUUUCAGAAUUAUGCUACAUACCAAGGAACUACUAAAACAUCUUGAAUAGUGCACCCAUCAUGUAUAGCUUUAAAAAUACUCAUCACACAUCAUCUCUGUCAUCCUAAUUUUAAUAUACAUUUUUCAAUGCUACCUUGGAUUUAAUGGGACAGAUCUACUGUACUGAAUAAGACUGCAACUAUGGCUCUGUAAUUAAAGUUGCUUUAGAAUCAUUUAGUUCCAAGUUCAAUUUCAAUGUGUAGCACAUUGGCCAAGUACUGUCUACCAUAACUUCAGGCUGGUCAAUAUCAUACUUGAAAAUACAGUUUAUGAAAAUAAAUAAAAAGAUGAAUUUACAAUUCAAACUAAUGUAAAACGAGAGAAGAGAUUUCACUUCUUUAAGGUUUAGCUGUCUUUGAAAAUGUAAAAUGGAAUGCUGAGAAAAGUUCUUUAUGCAGACGACAUUUUCAGGGGAAAAAAAAUGAAAAGAUUUUGAUUGAUGAACAUAAAAGGAAUUUUAA
rnacentral:lncRNA from 1 species